CGUAUUCUCGACCUGCCGUCGUGUAGGACGGAUGGGGCGACAGGACGUCGCCCCAAGCCGAGGGGGCACAGGACGUGCCCUCGGAGGCGGUCCGUUCGGAACAGGCAGGUCGAGAAUACGC
rfam:Dethiosulfovibrio peptidovorans DSM 11002 ctg1, whole genome shotgun sequence.